rnacentral:rRNA from 1 species
CAGAGGGUGCGAGCGUUGUUCGGAAUUACUGGGCGUAAAGCGCGCGCAGGCGGCCCUUUAAGUCCGUCGGUCAAAUGCCGGGGCUCAACCCCGAUGCAUGCCGAGGAUACUGGAGGGCUGGAGACACGUAGAGGCAAGCGGAAUUCCGGGUGUAGCGGUGGAAUGCGUAGAGAUCCGGAAGAACACCGGAGGCGAAGGCGGCUUGCUGGGCGUGAUCUGACGCUGAGGCGCGAAAGCGUGGGGAGCGAACAGGAUUAGAUACCCUGGUAGUCCACGCCGUAAACGAUGGGCACUAGACGCUGGUGGGAUCGACCCCUUCGGUGUCGCAGCUAACGCGAUAAGUGCCCCGCCUGGGGAGUACGGCCGCAAGGCUG